GCCUGGGUGGCUCAGUGGUUGAGCAUCUGCCUUCAGCUCAGAGAGUAAUCCCAGGAUCUGGGAUUGAGCCCCACACCAGGCU
rnacentral:tRNA from 1 species